rnacentral:lncRNA from 1 species
AGGGCCGGUGACCUUCGAUGAUGUGGACGUGGGCUUCAGAAACCAAGAGUGCAGUCGCCUGGACUGGCCUGAGAAGGCUCUUUACCCGGACGUGCUAUUAAAGAAUUACGGAAACGCCAUGACACUGAAGCGUGGAGAGCUGUGCAAGAAGGAAAGCGAGAGGAGGAAGUGCACGCGACAGGAUGCUGCGUUGUCUCCUUAAGCGUGUGCGUGUUUGGACAUUUUCCCCUUGAAGGAAGGAUCCUGGAAGGCCCUGCUUCCUUUAGGUUUGCUGUGCCGGUUCGGGUGUUUCUUGAGCUGCCUUCGAAGUGGUUACAUUCCCGUGGGCCUCAGGUGUGACUAGUCUUUGCCUCUUGAGGAUCAUUUUGUUCUGGAAUGUAGCCAAAAGUUACUUAGUAGAAUCUGAAAACCAAGGAAUUGCUCGCGCCGGUGAAUUGAUGUUUAGUCAAAAAUGUCUGUGAUGUGAGCCGGAAGUUUGUGGGACCUUAGGAAUCAAGGGUGUGCGAAUUAUACUCUGACGCCCCUUGUCCUCAUGAGUCCAGCAAGGUUGCUUUCACUCGAUUCCCUAUUCUCAUCGGCCCACUCCCACUCCCAGAAGUGGGCAAUUCUUUUUUUUUUUUUUUUUUAAGUUCAUUUAUUUAUUUAAAUAAUCUCUACCACAACGUGGGGCUCAAACUCUAGAUAAGAGCCACGUACGGGCUCUUGCGACUGAGUCAGCCAGGCGCCCCAGCAGUUCUUUAUCCUGCUCAAUAUUAUACCUUUUUUUUAUUAUUAUUAUCUUGGGUGUACUUUUAUGUAGGGUACAUGUAUUUUCUAUCUUUUAAAAACUAUUUCUCUUAUUAUAAAAUAAAAUUCAUGCAAAAUGUAAAAAAUUCA